GGCUUCAUAGCACAGUGGUAGUACACUCUAGUUCCCUCUAGAGAGGUCUCAGGUUCGAUUCCUGCCUUAGCCA